CCACCCUGCCCCACCCUGCCCCACCCUGCCCCACCCUUAUGGAAACCAUCAGGCAGGAUAAUAAUAGGAUUUUCCGUGAUUGUAAUUGUAUACCUAGUGUACUGUUAUGACAUUAAAGUCAGCACCAUCACACCAGGUAUAAACUGCUACUACUAGCAAACAGUAAAAAAUAUACAAUAAAAAUAUACUUUAGAUUUACAACAGCUAGUGAACCCAAUUACGAUUUUUCAUUGGUAAUUUCGCAGCUUUCAACUCCAGCUGUGCUGACAGUAUUUUGCAAUCCCACCCUCCAGCUAAAUUAAUGGAAUUCUUAUUAGCUAUUUUAUUCACUUAAAAUGCCAAAUACCAUAUAAUUUAAUAUGUUACCUGCAUGAAACAAAUAUCAUGUUUUCAAUUGGGUUUAAGAAACAUUUUUGAAAAUAUUGGGACUGUAAAAAGCCAAAUGAUGAUGCAAAAACUGACAUGGCAGUCGAGGGUUUGACAACCCUUUGGUAUAGUAGUGCAGAAUAGCUAGAAAAUGAUCUUACAUUUUGAAAACUGUGCCAGGCAAAAGGGGGAAUUACUUUUUGUUCAGUGCUAAUGUACAAGCUAUUUAAACAUGUUUAAAGCGUUACUAAUUUGAUACUGUGCAUUAUACUUCUAGAACCUUUACUUUUAUGACAGAAUGUGUAAAUAUUAAAGAAAAUGUACUGUAAACAAAAGCACAACCCCUAAGAUCCAGGCCACAGGGAUGAUCCUCAUCAAGCCUCUCGUAAAUACUAUACGUCUUUAGCAACCCUUGUUUUAAAAACAGGUUUCUUAUUUAAAGAGCAUGAACUUAUAACAUACUGAAGAAUGAUGCUCCACCAUUUUUAAACCAAGUGAACUCAAACACAACUUUUUCAAUGAUCACCAUAAGUUCAGGUAUAUAUUUGACAUCUGCCACUCAAAAUGAAAACAACGACACUGUGACACAAGUUACUAAAUGGACACAUAAGUGUAAUGAGUGAGUGUAGAAAUCUAUGUCAGUAAAGGGACACAUUUAUAAAGUUAUAUAUAGGAUAUAUGUCAAUCAAUGUAGUGUUUAUUCAGUUUAGUAUUUGUUGAUAGUCUCCUGAUAUGGAGAUACUGUAGAUCGUGCCCACACGUGAGUCUAAUGUAUUUAGUCCGUGCGAGAUGGAUUGAGGUUAUCGUUUUUUUUAACAAUAAUUCUUAAGAACAGGCAUCUCGGGUUUUCUGUAAGAUUUGAAUAACUUGUGGACAAGAUUGUUUCUGAUGUCCUAUGUGUCUUAAAUCACCUUGUGAAAUGUUAGUAUUAUGCAUAUCAUUGUUAUCAGAAACGGUUUCUAUGUUUGUAAAUUUGUAUCUUAAUUUGUAUGUUUGUAUGUUAAUAUACUGUACACAAAUGUGGUAUAUCAAAAAAAGUUACACGAAACAUUCCAAUUACAGAUAAGACACAAUUAUGAUAUCUAAUUGUUUUGUAAAAUGUUUUUACGUGAAGUCUGAGCGAAUUUUAUUUUGUUUUUCUCAUGCUCAACAUGUCAAAAUCCCUGGGAAAAAAAACAGACAAAUUUUAAAUAAAGUUUUGCACAUUUUAAUU